rnacentral:rRNA from 1 species
GACGAACGCUGGCGGCGUGCCUAAUACAUGCAAGUAGAACGCCGACGGAGGAGCUUGCUUCUCUGGAUGAGUUGCGAACGGGUGAGUAACGCGUAGGUAACCUGCCUGGUAGCGGGGGAUAACUAUUGGAAACGAUAGCUAAUACCGCAUAAGAGUAGAUGUCGCAUGACAUUUGCAUAAAAGGUGCAAUUGCAUCCCUACCAGAUGGACCUGCGUUGUAUUUGCUAGUUGGUGAGGUAACGGCUCACCAAGGCAACGAUACAUAGCCGACCUGAGAGGGUGAUCGGCCACACUGAGACUGGGACACGGCCCAGGAUCAUACGGGUAGCAGCAGUAGGGAAGCUUCGGCAAGGGACGGGAGUCUGAGCGAGCAACGGCGAGUGAGUGUAGAGGGUGUUCGGAUCGUGGAGCUCAGUUGUAAGAGAAGAAGGAGUGUGAGAGUGGAAAGUUCACACUGUGACGGUAUCUUACCAGAAAGGGACGGCUAACUCCGUG